AUUGAAACAAAACUACCGCUCCAAAACUUCUAUGGAAAAUCGCAUCUUCUUUUCUCUGAAGAAUUUACAUGGGGCUGAUUUUCCUGUUCUUGUUCUCAGUUAACAGCCUCAGUUUUGUUUUCCUCCAAGACAUUCCCUCUCCAGCCUUGGGAGUAACACCUCUGCUUGCACCCCAGCGCUCUGCCACUUGUAUCCACUGCUUUGCAAGUUGCUGGGGCCCUUUUAAAACACCUGAAGGUGCAGUGCCUUUUAAAAGCCAGGAACAAUGUAGCCAUCUGACCUCAUGGAUCUGCUUUCUAGGUGUCCUGAACCUGUGCAUGUUUGAUGUUUGGUAAGACCUGGGCGGUGGGGGGGUGGGUGGGGGUGGUGGUGACAGCUUGACAGCUGACAUCAGCACAGGACGCAAGAGCGGGCUCUGCCCUCACAGGGAGAGGAGCACAGGGACCUUUUUACUCACAGCUCAGAGCUUAGUUUCUCCCUGUAGCUUUGUCUGAGCAACCUUCACAAGCUCCGUGAGAGGAACCGGACGUGGGGCAUCUAGCAGAAACUAGUCCAUGGGAAGUUGGGGGACAAAAGAUCCGGGCUUGAUCCAGUGAAGCAUUGCUAACAAUAGCCGCUGUUCCCACACAGACGCCUGUCUUCAGGGAGGCUGAGUGGCCUGCCUCUGGAACAAUGAUAACAGCCACCCCAGAUGCAGCGUUGGCUCUUCACUGACUACGCUAACUGUCAUUAUCCAUAUAAAUACUAGGCAGAUGGCUACACUGACAGAGACAUAUUACUGGCUGCGAUGUGCCUAAGACUGUCAAGAAUGCAACUGGUAAGAGAUGGGGAAGUACAAACCACCAAAGAUGCCAUCUGCCUGCGAGAAGCAUGUGGUCCCAUGAGAGUCGAGGUGACAGUGAGGAAGCCAGGAGACUUCGGAGCCUGCCUGGCUGCAUUUCUAACAGGUGGCCAGGCCCCAGCUGCUGGGAUACCCAAAGGACCCAGUGUGUCUCCCUGAUGGAUGCGAGAUGACGGGAGAUGCUCCAAGAGUAUCACCUUCUGGAACAACGACCAGCGGAGUGCAGGUUCUGCCCUGAAAGACUCUUUAUAUCAAAAAAGAAAACCUUUCCCGAAGCCCCUUAUCUCUCAUUGGCCAAGUUUGCAUCACAUCCCCUGGCAACAGGAAUCCAGGUAGCCUGAUUGGUUUAGACCAAAGCAACUUGCACCUCCUGGUAACAGGGUACAGUCACCUUGCUGGAUCACACGAGGGGGAGGGGCCAACCAGACAACAGUGCUCUGCCAGCAAGAAGGAGGGGAUGGCGUGGAAUGACUGACGGGUUAGGAAGCUACAAUGCUGACCACAAUUGCUGGGUAAACAGAAGAUGCCGAAUAAAUGCUAACAGAUUUAUUGUGAUGCACAGUUCUUUCUAUUAUACGAUUGCAACUCUCUCUUUGGCUUAAAGCUAUU
rnacentral:lncRNA from 1 species